GCUGUGGAACUCCUACGGGAGGCAGCAGUAGGGAAUUUUCCACAAUGGACGAAAGUCUGAUGGAGCAACGCCGCGUGAACGAUGAAGGUCUUCGGAUUGUAAAGUUCUGUUGUCAGGGACGAAUACGUACCGUUCGAACAGGGCGGUGCCUUGACGGUACCUGACGAGAAAGCCACGGCUAACUACGUGCCAGCAGCCGCGGUAAUACGUAGGUGGCAAGCGUUGUCCGGAUUUAUUGGGCGUAAAGCGCGCGCAGGCGGCUAUGUAAGUCUGGUGUUAAAGCCCGGGGCUCAACCCCGGUUCGCAUCGGAAACUGUGUAGCUUGAGUGCAGAAGAGGAAAGCGGUAUUCCACGUGUAGCGGUGAAAUGCGUAGAGAUGUGGAGGAACACCAGUGGCGAAGGCGGCUUUCUGGUCUGUAACUGACGCUGAGGCGCGAAAGCGUGGGGAGCAAACAGUAUUAGAAACCCCAGUAGUCCUACCACGU
rnacentral:rRNA from 1 species